GACGAACGCUGGCGGCGUGCUUAACACAUGCAAGUCGAACGGAAAGGCCCUGCUUUUGUGGGGUGCUCGAGUGGCGAACGGGUGAGUAACACGUGAGUAACCUGCCCUUGACUUUGGGAUAACUUCAGGAAACUGGGGCUAAUACCGCAUAGGAGCUCCUGCUGCAUGGUGGGGGUUGGAAAGUUUCGGCGGUUGGGGAUGGACUCGCGGCUUAUCAGCUUGUUGGUGGGGUAGUGGCUUACCAAGGCUUUGACGGGUAGCCGGCCUGAGAGGGUGAACGGCCACAAUGGGACUGCGAUACGGCCCAGACUCCAACGGGCGGCAGCAGUGGGGAAUAUUGCACAAUGGGCGGAAGCCUGAUGCAGCAACGCCGCGUGCGGGAUGACGGCCUUCGGGUUGUAAACCGCUUUCGCCUGUGACGAAGCGUGAGUGACGGUAAUGGGUAAAGAAGCACCGGCUAACUACGUG
rnacentral:rRNA from 1 species